GGGCACAUGGUGUAGUUGGUUAUCACGCUCGCUUAGCAUAUGGAUACGAAUUCCUCAUGCGAGAGGUGUUGGGUUCAAUUCCCAAUGUGUCCA